UACAGAGGGUGCGAGCGUUGUUCGGAAUUAUUGGGCGUAAAGCGCGUGUAGGCGGGAUGCAAGUCGGGUGUGAAAGCCCUCAGCUCAACUGAGGAAGUGCGCCCGAAACUACUGUUCUUGAGUAUCGGAGAGGGAAGCGGAAUUCCCGGUGUAGUGGUGAAAUGCGUAGAUAUCGGGAGGAACACCAGUGGCGAAGGCGACUACCUGGCCUGUUCUUGACGCUGAGGCGCGAAAGCUAGGGGAGCAAACGGG
rnacentral:rRNA from 1 species